rnacentral:rRNA from 1 species
UAAUACCAGCACCCCGAGUGGUCGGGACGAUUAUUGGGCCUAAAGCAUCCGUAGCUUGUUCUGCAAGUCCUCCGUUAAAUCCACCUGCUCAACAGAUGGGCUGCGGGGGAUACUACAGGGCUAGGAGGCGGGAGAGGCAAACGGUACUCAGUGGGUAGGGGUAAAAUCCUCUGAUCCACUGAAGACCACCAGUGGCGAAGGCGGUUCGCCAGAACGCGCUCGACGGUGAGGGAUGAAAGCUGGGGGAGCAAACCGGAUUAGAUACCCGGGUAGUCCCAGCUGUAAACGAUGCAGACUCGGUGAUGGGUUGGCUUCGAGCCAACCCAGUGCCGCAGGGAAGCCGUUAAGUCUGCCGCCUGGGGAGUACGGUCGCAAGACUGAAACUUAAAUGAAUUGA